AACGGGUGAGUAACACGUGAGUAAUCUGCCCUGGACUCUGGGAUAGCCACCGGAAACGGUGAUUAAUACCGGAUAUGACCACUCUAGGCAUCUAGUGGUGGUGGAAAGUUUUUCGGUCCAGGAUGUGCUCGCGGCCUAUCAGCUUGUUGGUGAGGUAAUGGCUCACCAAGGCUUUGACGGGUAGCCGGCCUGAGAGGGUGACCGGUCACACUGGGACUGAGACACGGCCCAGACUCCUACGGGAGGCAGCAGUGGGGAAUAUUGGACAAUGGGCGGAAGCCUGAUCCAGCAACGCCGCGUGAGGGAUGACGGCCUUCGGGUUGUAAACCUCUUUCAGUACCGACGAAGCGAAAGUGACGGUAGGUACAGAAGAAGGACCGGCCAACUACGUGCCAGCAGCCGCGGUAAUACGUAGGGUCCGAGCGUUGUCCGGAAUUAUUGGGCGUAAAGGGCUCGUAGGCGGUUUGUCGCGUCGGGAGUGAAAACAGCGGGCUUAACUCGUUGCUUGCUUUCGAUACGGGCAGACUAGAGGUAUGCAGGGGAGAAUGGAAUUCCUGGUGUAGCGGUGAAAUGCGCAGAUAUCAGGAGGAACACCGGUGGCGAAGGCGGUUCUCUGGGCAUUACCUGACGCUGAGGAGCGAAAGUGUGGGGAGCGAACAGGAUUAGAUACCCUGGUAGUCCACACCGUAAACGUUGGGCGCUAGGUGUGGGGUCCUUCACGGAUUCCGUGCCGUAGCUACGCAUUAAGCG
rnacentral:rRNA from 1 species